ACUUAAUUAGUAUAAUCAGUAUUACUGACUUCCAAUCAGUAGGUCUACCCUCUAGAUUAAGUA
rnacentral:tRNA from 1 species